UUAUAUGUUAACAAUAUAAUGUUAAUAAUGUAACUAAUAAAAUGGGCCAAAUGAGCACAAAGGUAUCAAACUGUUGACAAAGAGAUGUGUCCCUCCUGUAUGUAAUUUUUAUAGUAAAAUGCAAAUGUUGAUAUUAAAAAUACUUAACAUGUAAACUAUGCAAAACAUUCAAAGUCAAUGUAUCAUGACUGAAGGUGUAGGAACAAAUAAGCUCCAUGAAAAUGUGAUUUACCAUUGCUAUUACACCUCUUUACCAAAUAUCAUUGACUUACCAUGGAUGGGUCCCUUUAAACUGACCUAUUCACAAACUUUAACAAUAUCACUGACAAUAGACAUCAACCUCUGUAAUAUUGAAUUUCACAGAUAUAAAAACAAGCAUUCUGAGAGUAUUUUAUGGCAAUACAGUCCCCGACCAGUUAAAAAUUAAUUGUACUGGAUCAAAAUGCUAACUUGAUCUAUAACUGGUCAAGAUGGUGUAAACUAUAUAACAAAUAUCAAGUCAAUAUCUUCAAGCAUGACGAAAAUAAAAUGCUUCGCCGAGCGCAGCCUGAUACAAACGCAGAGGUCAAAACCUGAACAGUUGGCCCAAGUUUGGACGCAAUAUUCAAGCUUGAUACUGUCUGAAUUUGGAUUGUGAACAAGUUUUUGACAUAAUAUAGGUUUCUGACACAAAAUUAUUGUAGUCAAAGAUCUUAAAAAUUUGAAAUGGGACAUUUAAUUUACCUAGAAUUGUCUGAUAUCCAAAAUCUAACAACAUGGUUUCAUUCAGCAUAUAAAAUAAACUGCUUCGCUGAGCGCAGCUGGAUACGCCCGCAGAGGUCCAACCCUGAACAGUUGAGGCAAAAAUGGACACAAUAUUCAAGCUUGAUACAGGUCUGAAUUUGGAUUGUAAUUAAAUAUUUGACAUAUUUUAGGUUUCUGAAUAAAUGUAGUCAAAGAACUUGAAAUUGGUUAUAUGAAUUGAAUUUAUAUUCAAUUAAAGAUUUCUUUUUGUUGUGCAAUACACUGUGCUGUUGCACAAUACUAGUAAAUCUGUUGUCAGACUAUAAACAAAUAAAGUUCAAUAACUUCUCAAUGUUAUAUUAGAAAUUUAUAAAAAAAACUAAAGGGAGGUUAUCUUAAUAGAUAUAAAUCAGUCAUCAAAGUUUAAUGAAAACUGCUCUAAGCACUUUAAGGAUAUUGUCCAAAAACUUGAAAAUCACCCCUUUUUUUAUGAAUAAAAUCUUGUAACUCGGAAACAUAAAAUCUAAAAUUUAUAAAAAAAUCAAAAGGGAGCUUACAACAAUAGAUAUAAACAAUUUACUAAAGUUUCAUAAAAUAUGCUGAAAGCAUUUAUGAGUUAUUGUCCAAACAGGAAUAUCCCCCUUUUUGUAACGAAUAAAACCCCAUAAAUCAGAAACAUAUAGUCUAAAAUUUAUAAAAAUCAAAAGGGAGCUCAUAUCAAUAGCAUUAAACAAUUCACCAAAGUUUUCUUGCAAAUUGGUGAAAUUGUUUUUGAGUUAUUGUCUGAAAACUGGAAAAUCCCCCCUUUUUUAAUGAAUAAAA